AUCCAUGUUGCUUAGGUAGAUUGCUUAGAUGAAUUUUGAUUAAAAGAAAAAGAAAAUUAUCUUUUAAUUCAAGCACCGUUGCUUAAUUAGGAACAAUAAGCUACGUUGCUUAUCUCCUUCUCUCUCUCAUCUCUAUCUCUGUCUCUCUCCCCACUUCCUGAAAUCAGUAGAUUUCGGUUCCAAAAUGUCGUGAUUGAUCUCUUCUCUUGGGAUGAUCUCGUCGUCGUCUUUGAUCGUCUCGAGGGAUAGGGAUUGGGUUCGAUCGUCUCACCGAAACGCUAACUUCUCCGACGGGCUUAUCGCCGGCGAUGGGACGAUCAGCCACGAUCUCGAUGACUAAGAACCGAGCCUUCACAUGGAGGUAGAGGGAGAAGAUGAGUUCAGGGAAGAGUAUGCUUGCCCCUUCUGCUCAGACUAUUUUGAUAUCGUCUCUCUCUGCUGCCACAUAGACGAAGAUCAUCCCAUGGACACUAUCAAUGGGAUAACUUCUUGGGGUUUGAGGAGGUGGUCUUCUUAUUUCCUGGAAGAUGGCCGGAUUCUAACAAGAUAAUGAUGCUCUUUAAGAAACGGGUUUUAUGGACACGUGUCGUUAUCUCACCCCUCUCUCUCUCGACCAAAGCAUCCUCUCUCUUUCUCUCGCGUUUCCUCGACGACUCCGACUCCAUCUGGUUAUCUCUCCUCGACGAUGACCUCUCCGCGGCGACUCCGACUCCAUUAACCGGCGACUCUGACGAUGACCUCUCCAUGGCUUUUAAUCUGUAGUUGGGUCUGGAUUGUAUGAUUAAACUUGGCUUUCGUUCUUUUAAAGCAAAAUCUGUUCUUAUAGUUCAUUGUAAUAUUUGCGUUUAUUCUGAGUUUCGUAAUUGAAAUUGAUAUUUGCGUUUCGUAAUUGAAAUUGAUAUUUGCGUUUAUUCUGAGUUUGGUCUUAUUUGUAGACAGCGAGGUACACUGUGAGAGCUUUUUGUAUGAGACAUUACGAAAAGAUUUCUUGUUGCGUCAUUGUGAGAGGAGACAAGGCAAUGCAACUUCUUGAGUGUGGCUUGAAAGUGAAGGAAUACAGAUCGAAUCUUCAUCACCAGGGAAUGAGGUAGCUUUCCUCUAAAGCAUUACUAAGGCAAUGGCAGCUAUGAGCAAGAAUAUGGAUCUGGCAAAACAGGCUAAGGUUAUGAGAGAGUUCCAAAAGCAGUCUGCGCAAAUGGACAUGACUGUAAGUUGUGAGCAGCAGUUCUGAAAUGGAUGAUCUGGAGAAGCGGUUGGCGGCGCUUAGAUAGAAAGAAAGAAGAAAGUGCCGUGAGCUUGAAGAAAACGUUUCAGACCAAGAGCUACUGGUUAGUUCAAUAUCAUUGAUCAAUUUGAAGUUUUUUGAUUGUGCAUUGUAGUAAAGUUUGUUGUAAUGAAAGUGUUUUAUAAUUUUUUUUAAGAACCCAUAAUUAAGAGACUUGCAAUAAACCAUUUAAAUGUUCAAAUCUC